UUUAUACGUCGAAUUUUGGUCGCGUCGAAUGCAAUUAAGACAAUAGAUAAUGAGAUGAUAAACCUCAUUAAGCUUCAUUAUCUAUUGUUUGAAUUGCAUUCGACGCGACCGAAAUUCGACGUAUGAA